AAAAAAGUGUGGAGAAAUAUAGAUAAAACAAGUUGGCAAAAUACUAAUCAUUGUUGAAGCUAGGUGGUAGGUUCACAGGAGGGACUUCAGUAUACCAUCCUUUCUCCUUUUUUUUAUUUCUCCUUUUAUGUGUGUUUGAAAUUUUCAUCUGCAGAGCACUUGCUGCUCCUGGAGAUACCUACCCUACAGAGCCAAAGGCCAAUGCACCCCAAAGUGAGGCCAGCUUAACAUGGCUGACCAGGAAAGGACAAGUCUGCACAAGGGUUUUCUCUGCAGAGCACAGGGGCUGCCAUGCUAGGAUGCAAGGGGUGGUUGCCUCUCCAAUACAACCCUAGCUGUCAUGUCACCUGAACUAUGAGUGACAUAGUCUGAAGGAUGACGGGCCUUCCUCUUGCAGCAUGAGAACACCCUUCCUACAUUGUGAGAGCUCUUGGGCAUCUACUCCCACUACCAAGCCAUCAUCACUCCAAACCUGAGCUGGCAAGGCGUUGGCCUUGAGCAUCCAACACUGGUCACCCUACUCCAGGUCAGAUGCAGGGGUUUAGAAAGUGGGCUCUCAGGGCCCUAGGAAGGGGAGAAGUUCUCACAGCAUGGUUCCUGAAAUAUGCACACUGUCUUAGUUAUUACCCUCAGUUUGUGGAACAGAGUCAGGUUCCAAAACAGUCUCAAUAGGUUGGAAAGGAUCUCUAAGUAUAGCCAGAGAAAACAUAGCAGAGACUCACACAGGCCCCCACAUAUUCACACUUGGGCUGUGCAAGUCCAGGAUGGAAGGUACCAGACUUUGUGUGAAGAUGCCCAGCAUGAGGCUGGGUAAGCGUGGGAGUAGCUGCCCAAAAGCUCUCAUAAAGGUGUAGGAAGGGUGUUCUCAUGCGGCAAGAGGGAAGAUCCCACAUCCUUCAGACUAUGUCUCUCAUAGUCCAGGUGACAUGCUGAGCCCUGGGCCCUGUUCUCUGAGGCCUCAUUAUCCUUUUAGGAUACUGACAGCCUUGGGCAGGGCAGUCCAGGCUGGCAAGGGUCUCAGAGUCCCAUCGCACCCACAGGAGCUGGAGAAGUGAAGUCCAGAGAAGAAAACCAGGAUUGAGGAGGUAAGCGCAGGGCCCUCAGCCUUGGCACAUAGCAGGCACAGUGAGCACCUGCUAAACCUGUGAGCAAAAAUAAAUCAGCAGUGCUGGAGGGCAGAGCCAGGACCAGUAGAUAGGAGGUGUAAGAAAACUUGUUUCAGGAUAACAGCAGAGAAUAUGGCAGCCCAGAGGGAAUGGACCCUGAUGGUGUCAUCGAGAGCAACUGGAAUGAGACUGUUGAUAACUCUGAUGAUACGAAUUUAAAGGAGUCUCUUCUUCGGGGCAUCUAUGCUUAUGGUUUUGAGAAGCCUUCCGCUAUUCAGCAGAGAGCUAUUAUUUCCUGUAUUAAAGGGUAUGAUGUGAUUGCUCAAGCUUAGUCAGGUACUGGCAAGACAGCCACAUCUGCUAUUUCCCUCCUGCAACAGUUGGAGAUUGAGCUCAAGGAGACCCAAGCACUAGUGUUGGCCCCCAUCAGAGAACUGGCUCAACAGAUCCAAAAGGCAAUUCUGGCACUUGGAGACUAUAUGGGAGCAACUUGCCAUGCCUGCAUUGGUAGAACAAAUGUUUGAACUGAAAUGCAAAAACUGCAGGCUGAAGCACCACAUAUUGUUGUUGGUACACCUGGGAGAGUGUUUGAUAUGUUAAACAGAAGAUAUCUUUCUCCAAAAUGGAUCAAAAUGUUUGUUUUGGAUAAAGCAGAUGAAAUGUUGAGUCAUGGGUUUAAGGAUCAAAUCUAUGAGAUUUUCCAAAAACUAAAUACAAGUAUUCAGGUUGUGUUGCUUUCUGCCACAAUGCCAACUGAUGUGUUGGAAGUGACCAAAAAUUUCAUGAGAGAUCCAAUUGGAAAUCUGGUGAAAAAUGAAUAAUUGACCCUUGAAGGAAUCAAACAGUUUUAUAUCAAUGUUGAGAGAGAGGAAUGGAAGUUGGAUACACUUUGUGACUUGUAUGAGACACUGACCAUUAUGCAGGCUGUUAUUUUUCUCAAUACAAGGCGCUCGGUGGACUGGCUGACAGAGAAAAUGCAUGCCAGAGACUUCACAGUUUCUGCUCUGCAUGGUGACAUGGACCAGAAGGAGAGAGAUGUUAUCAUGAGGGAAUUCUGAUCAGGGUCAAGCCGUGUUCUGAUAACUACUGACUUGUUGGCUUGCAGGAUUGAUGUGCAACAAGUGUCUUUGGUUAUAAAUUAUGAUCUACCUACCAAUCGUGAAAACUAUAUUCACAGAAUUGGCAGAGGGGGUUGAUUUGGGAGGAAAGGUGUGGCUAUAAACUUUGUCACCGAAGAAGACAAGACGAUUCUUCGUGACAUUGAGACUUUCUACAAUACUACAAUGGAGGAGAUGCCCAUGAAUGUGGCUGAUCUUAUUUAAUUCCUGGGAUGAGAGUUUUGGAUGUAGUGCUCGCUGUUGCUAAAUAGGCGAUCACAACGUGCACUGUGCUUCUUUCUUUGGGAAUAUUUGAAUCUUGUCUCAAUGCUCUUAACGGAUCAGAAAUACAGAUUUUGAUAGCAAAGCGACAUUAGUCAUGAGCUCUUGUGAGGAAAGUCAUUGGCUUUAUCCUCUUUAGAGUUAGACUGUUGGGGUGGGUAUAAAAGAUGGGGUCUGUAAAAUCUUUCUUUCUUAGAAAUUUAUUUCCUAGUUCUGUAGAAAUGGUUGUCUUAGAUGUUCUCUAUUAUUAAAUAAUAUAUUUAUGGACUAAAAGAUAUAAGUGCUGUAUAAAAUCAGCUAAUUAUGUUAAACUAGCAUAUCUGCCUU